GAUGAACGCUGGCGGCGUGCUUAACACAUGCAAGUCGAACGAUGAAGCCCAGCUUGCUGGGUGGAUUAGUGGCGAACGGGUGAGUAACACGUGAGUAACCUGCCCUUAACUCUGGGAUAAGCCUGGGAAACUGGGUCUAAUACCGGAUAGGAGCGCCUACCGCAUGGUGGGUGUUGGAAAGAUUUAUCGGUUUUGGAUGGACUCGCGGCCUAUCAGCUUGUUGGUGAGGUAAUGGCUCACCAAGGCGACGGCGGGUAGCCGGCCUGAGAGGGUGACCGGCCACACUGGGACUGAGACACGGCCCAGACUCCUACGGGAGGCAGCAGUGGGGAAUAUUGCACAAUGGGCGAAAGCCUGAUGCAGCGACGCCGCGUGAGGGAUGACGGCCUUCGGGUUGUAAACCUCUUUCAGUAGGGAAGAAGCGAAAGUGACGGUACCUGCAGAAGAAGCACCGGCUAACUACGUG
rnacentral:rRNA from 1 species